CCGUGUCAUCCUGGACCUGAAGGACUGCUAAGCAGCCACCAUCGUCCUGCCCUCCAGAAUAAGGGACCUUCCCUUCAGACCCAGCCCACCCCAGCUCCAGAUUUGGCCCACAGUGGUGAAGGAGGGGCAAAGAAGGCCCCAACUCUGGCUUUCGGAAGUGGAACCCAGCUGGCAAGACUAUGAACCUGAGUCUCUAGCUUCAGUCCAGACACUCAAGAUAAGCAGGUGGGAGCAGGGCCAACAUCACCACCAGGC